GCCUGGUGUGGUAGAGUGUGCCUGUAUUCCCAGCUACUUCGGAGGCUGAGGCGGGAGGAUCACUUGACCCCAGGAGUUCUGGGCUGUAGUGCGCUCUGCCAAUCAGGUGUCUGCACUAAGUUUAGCAUCAACUUCCUGGGAGUGGGGGACCAGUUCAGGUUGGAGACUGAGCAGGUCAAAACUCCUGUGCAUCGCGCCUGUGAAUAGUCACUGCACUUCAGUCUGGGCAACAUAGUGAGACCCUGUCUCAA
ensembl:misc_RNA Metazoa_SRP Metazoan signal recognition particle RNA